GCCUCUUAUUCGUAUAGGGCUAUGCUUUCUGGACAACUGCAACGAAGCUGAUUUACAAGCACUGGUAGACACAGUAAAACCGCCUACGGUAGAUAUUCUGGUGUCAAACUGCGUUACAUCGGAGCCGGAGCCGUGGACCUCGCUGCAAAUCGGACUUGUCGCAUUCCUAGCUUUCCUAGGCAUCAUUAUAGCAGGUGCCACGAUCGUCGACCUUAUUACGAAUUCCAGGCCAAAAUACGUCGAGAGA
rnacentral:lncRNA from 1 species